rnacentral:pre_miRNA from 1 species
GAGGGGAAAGGAGAAAAAGAGAAGGAGAGAGGAGAGAUGGAAGAGAAGGAAAGAAGGAGGAAGGAGUAAAAAAAGUUUGUGUCUUUUCUUUUUCCUUUCCUUCCUAAUCCUGCUCUCUUCUCCCUCUCUUCCUUCCUACCACCUUCU